ensembl:snRNA U6 U6 spliceosomal RNA
CUGCUCAUUUUGGCAGCACAUAUACCAAAAUUGGAAUGAUACAGAGAAGAUUAGCAUGACCCUUGUGAAAGGAUGACACCCAAAAAGCAGGGGGAAAACCUAUACAA